rnacentral:miRNA from 1 species
UCAGGAGAGAUGACACCCA